rnacentral:misc_RNA from 1 species
UAAUAAGUGUUUUAUGGCACUUUUUAAAUCCAUAUCCACCUUGUGUGCAAUGUCAGUCGAUCUUCUUCAUGGAGAUCGACCAAACAUCAACCUUUAUUUUUAACUCUUUGUCUGAAAAAUAUUAUGAAUAAAACAAUUCAAAAUA